CGGCUCAGAUUGAACGCUGGCGGCAGGCCUAACACAUGCAAGUCGAGCGGAUGACGGGAGCUUGCUCCUUGAUUCAGCGGCGGACGGGUGAGUAAUGCCUAGGAAUCUGCCUGGUAGUGGGGGACAACGUUUCGAAAGGAACGCUAAUACCGCAUACGUCCUACGGGAGAAAGCAGGGGACCUUCGGGCCUUGCGCUAUCAGAUGAGCCUAGGUCGGAUUAGCUAGUUGGUGGGGUAAUGGCUCACCAAGGCGACGAUCCGUAACUGGUCUGAGAGGAUGAUCAGUCACACUGGAACUGAGACACGGUCCAGACUCCUACGGGAGGCAGCAGUGGGGAAUAUUGGACAAUGGGCGAAAGCCUGAUCCAGCCAUGCCGCGUGUGUGAAGAAGGUCUUCGGAUUGUAAAGCACUUUAAGUUGGGAGGAAGGGCAGU
rnacentral:rRNA from 1 species